GGAAACGCUACUUCGUAUAGAGUUGGACUCGAUCGAUGAGAGGAGCUUGCUCCUCAUGAUUUAGCGGCGGACGGGUGAGUAACACGUGGGUAAUCUGCCUGUAAGACGGGGAUAACUCCGGGAAACCGGGGCUAAUACCGGAUAACAAGAGAAGAAGCAUUUCUUCUUUUUGAAAGUCGGUUUCGGCUGACACUUACAGAUGAGCCCGCGGCGCAUUAGCUAGUUGGUGAGGUAACGGCUCACCAAGGCGACGAUGCGUAGCCGACCUGAGAGGGUGAUCGGCCACACUGGGACUGAGACACGGCCCAGACUCCUACGGGAGGCAGCAGUAGGGAAUCUUCGGCAAUGGGCGAAAGCCUGACCGAGCAACGCCGCGUGAGCGAUGAAGGCCUUCGGGUCGUAAAGCUCUGUUGUUAGAGAAGAACAAGUACGAGAGUAACUGCUCGUACCUUGACGGUACCUAACCAGAAAGCCACGGCUAACUACGUGCCAGCAGCCGCGGUAAUACGUAGGUGGCAAGCGUUAUCCGGAAUUAUUGGGCGUAAAGCGCGCGCAGGCGGUCUCUUAAGUCUGAUGUGAAAGCCCACGGCUCAACCGUGGAGGGUCAUUGGAAACUGGGAGACUUGAGUGCAGGAGAGAAAAGUGGAAUUCCACGUGUAGCGGUGAAAUGCGUAGAGAUGUGGAGGAACACCAGUGGCGAAGGCGGCUUUUUGGCCUGUAACUGACGCUGAGGCGCGAAAGCGUGGGGAGCAAACAGGAUUAGAUACCCUGGUAGUCCACGCCGUAAACGAUGAGUGCUAGGUGUUGGGGGGUUCCACCCUCAGUGCUGAAGUUAACACAUUAAGCACUCCGCCUGGGGAGUACGACCGCAAGGUUGAAACUCAAAGGAAUUGACGGGGGCCCGCACAAGCAGUGGAGCAUGUGGUUUAAUUCGAAGCAACGCGAAGAACCUUACCAGGUCUUGACAUCCUCUGACCACUCUAGAAAAUAGAGCUUUUCCC
rnacentral:rRNA from 1 species